AGAGGGGAACUCUGGGGCCAACAGACCACCAGGAGAGCCGCACUCUCCUCAACACCAUUGUUCGCAACAUCCAGACCAACGACGUCUACGGGCCGAUCAACCUGCUGAUCCGAGAGAUCAAACGGCGUCCAGAAGGGCUCAAACGACAGACCGUGUACAGACUCUGACUCUAACUUUGUGCACUUUCUGAAGAAGAGAAGAUGUCUGAUGCGUCGUGAGCUGUGAAUGUCUCUCAGGAGCAUCCCGUGUUUGGGACGGGAGAACAUUGGCGAAGAAGAGUGAAAUUAAAUGGCAUCUCUGUGUUGCUGACAUGCAGAGGGUUUCAACAGGGAGGCCUUUGCAGUGCAUCGCUGGUCCGCUCCCUCUCUUCUCCCUGCACUUCUGAAGAUAGAAUCUUUCAGGGAAACGAUUUACAGACUUUGGAUUUUAAGUACAAACACUUGAAGGCAGUUGACUCACAGCAUGUAGACCUCACAGUUUCAACAAGCACUGUUGGAUUCUGAAGGCCCCGCAGAGGUUCCCAGCUGCUUUCUGCAUGGAGGCUGUGCAAACACAUGGUCUUGGUCACUCAGGGCUGUGAAUUCAAUUCCUGAAGAACUUCAUCACCAUUCUCUGCAGGAAUAUCGCAGCAAGCCUCUCUCUGUCAUCAUAAAGGAUCACAGUCAGUCCGUCAGUCUGGUUGUAGAUGAGAUGGAAACUUAACCAGGAACCCACAUGCAGGACAUACAGAAGAAUGACACCAGAAUGUCCAUCCAUUGCUUCAAGUCUGUCAGAAGGAAGAACAAAUCAUAAGUUGCAAUCAACAGCUGCAGCAAUUAUACGUUAAACAUUGUAAGUUAUCAAAACUCUGCCUGCCUGCUUUUAGCUGGUGACUCAUAACAAUAACAGCUUUUUUUUGGUACUUUACCAAAAAUUGUGACCCCCUCCCCAACUCAAAUAUAAAUAAAGACUUUCUUCACUUAAUAUAAAAAUGUAAAAGACUUUGAUUACGCCUGUAAACAAAUAAAAAUAAUCAAAAACAGUCCCAUAAUCCCAUAAUGACUUACAUAGAUUAAUCAUCAUAGAAAGAUCAUAAUAAUCAGGGCUGGACUGGGACAAAAAAAUUGGCCUGGGCAUUUUGACUAG